rnacentral:rRNA from 1 species
AUUGAACGCUGGCGGCAUGCUUUACACAUGCAAGUCGAACGAGUGGCGCACGGGUGAGUAAUACAUCGGAACGUGUCCUAUCGUGGGGGAUAACUGAUCGAAAGAUCAGCUAAUACCGCAUACGCUUGGAGCUGCCGAUGUCCGAUUAGCUAUGUGGUGAGGGAAAGGCUCACCAAGGCGACGAUCGGUAGCUGGUCUGAGAGGAUGACCAGCAACACUGGAACUGAGACACGGUCCAGACUCCUACGGGAGGCAGCAGUGGGGAAUGUUGGACAAUGGGGGCAACCCUGAUGCAGCCAUGCCGCGUGCAGGAUGAAGGUCUUCGGAUUGUAAACUGCUUUUGUCAGGGAAGCGGUACCUGAAGAAUAAGCACCGGCUAACUCCGUGCCAGCAGCCGCGGUAAUAC